rnacentral:rRNA from 1 species
UUAGAGUUUGAUCUGGGCAGGAUUGAACGGGGGGCAGGCUUAACACAUGCAAGUCGAGGGAUGAAAGGAGCUUGCUCAUCGAUUAACCGGCGGACGGUUGAGUAAUGCUUAGGAUUCUGCUUGUUAGUGGGGGACACAGUUUGAAAAGGAACGUUAAUACGGCAUAGUUCUUACGGAAGAAAGCAGGGGACCUUCGGCCCUUGCGUUAUCAGAUGAGCUUAGGUCGGAUUAGUUAGUUGGGAGGUAAUGGCUCACCAAGGCGACGAUCCGUAAGUUGUGAGAGAGGAUGAUCAGUCACACUGGAAGUGAGACACGGUCCAGACUCCUACGGGAGGCAGCAGUGGGGAAUAUUACACAAUGGCAAAGCCUGAUCCACCCAUGCCGCGUGUGUGAAGAAGCUUUUCGGAUUGUAAAGCACUAUAAGAGGGAGGAAGGGUUGUAGUUUAAUACUUCACAUAUUUGACGUUACUGACAGAAUAAGCACCGGCUAACUCUGUGCCAGCAGCCGCGGUAAUACAGAGGGUGCAAGCGUUAAUCGGAUUUACUGGGCGUAAAGCGCGCGUAGGUGGUUAGUUAAGUCAAAUGUGAAAUCCCCGGGCUCAACCUGGGAACUGCAUCCAAAACUGGCAAGCUAGAGUAUGGUAGAGGGUGGUGGAAUUUCCUGUGUAGCGGUGAAAUGCGUAGAUAUAGGAAGGAACACCAGUGGCGAAGGCGACCACCGGCCUGACACGACACGAGGGGAAAGCUGUAGCAACCCC